AUUGAACGCUGGCGGCAGGCCUAACACAUGCCAGUCGAGCGGAUGAAGGGAGCUUGCUCCUGGAUUCAGCGGUGGACGGGUGAGUAAUGCCUAGGAAUCUGCCUGGUAGUGGGGGAUAACGUCCGGAAACGGGCGCUAAUACCGCAUACGUCCUGAGGGAGAAAGUGGGGGAUCUUCGGACCUCACGCUAUCAGAUGAGCCUAGGUCGGAUUAGCUAGUUGGUGGGGUAAAGGCCUACCAAGGCGACGAUCCGUAACUGGUCUGAGAGGAUGAUCAGUCACACUGGAACUGAGACACGGUCCAGACUCCUACGGGAGGCAGCAGUGGGGAAUAUUGGACAAUGGGCGAAAGCCUGAUCCAGCCAUGCCGCGUGUGUGAAGAAGGUCUUCGGAUUGUAAAGCACUUUAAGUUGGGAGGAAGGGCAGUAAGUUAAUACCUUGCUGUUUUGACGGUACCAACAGAAUAAGCACCGGCUAACUUCGUG
rnacentral:rRNA from 1 species